rnacentral:lncRNA from 1 species
GAGAGGCCAGCCCGCGACCCUUGGCCAUGAGGCUCAGGCUCAAGCGACAGCUUCCGCAGGCUGUCGCUUCCCGGACAGACCCAGCGGGAUGGCCCCACGAUUUCCUGUUCCUUAGUCGGGAACAAUGGCCGGUUCCUUCGCUCUUCUCCAGACCGCUCCGGUGGCGUACAGGAGGGGUUAUGCUCGCGCGGAGGGGAGGGGAGUGAAGGUGCUAAGUCCUCGAACUCGGGUCCGCAACCCUGAGGUCCCGCCCGCCCUUUGUUGAGAUCUUGAGAGCAGCGGCUGCGGCUGUUGCUAAGGGAAGGGACGCGCGGGGUAGCACGACCCGAGAGGGAUCCAGGCACCGUGCGAACCAGGAUAGCUCGCCCCGUUUCUGUUGGACCCUCCCCGUGCCGUACCCUGGUCGCUGUC